GUAAUGCUUGGGAACAUGCCUUGAGGUGGGGGACAACAGUUGGAAACGACUGCUAAUACCGCAUAAUGUCUACGGACCAAAGGGGGCUUCGGCUCUCGCCUUUAGAUUGGCCCAAGUGGGAUUAGCUAGUUGGUGAGGUAAUGGCUCACCAAGGCAACGAUCCCUAGCUGGUUUGAGAGGAUGAUCAGCCACACUGGAACUGAGACACGGUCCAGACUCCUACGGGAGGCAGCAGUGGGGAAUAUUGCACAAUGGGCGAAAGCCUGAUGCAGCCAUGCCGCGUGUGUGAAGAAGGCCUUCGGGUUGUAAAGCACUUUCAGUCAGGAGGAAAGGGUGUGAGUUAAUACCUCAUAUCUGUGACGUUACUGACAGAAGAAGCACCGGCUAACUCCGUGCCAGCAGCCGCGGUAAUACGGAGGGUGCGAGCGUUAAUCGGAAUUACUGGGCGUAAAGCGUACGCAGGCGGUUUGUUAAGCGAGAUGUGAAAGCCCCGGGCUCAACCUGGGAACUGCAUUUCGAACUGGCAAACUAGAGUGUGAUAGAGGGUGGUAGAAUUUCAGGUGUAGCGGUGAAAUGCGUAGAGAUCUGAAGGAAUACCGAUGGCGAAGGCAGCCACCUGGGUCAACACUGACGCUCAUGUACGAAAGCGUGGGGAGCAAACGGGAUUAGAUACCCCGGUAGUCCACGCCGUAAACGAUGUCUACUAGAAGCUCGGAACCUCGGUUCUGUUUUUCAAAGCUAACGCAUUAAGUAGACCGCCUGGGGAGUACGGCCGCAAGGUUAAAACUCAAAUGAAUUGACGGGGGCCCGCACAAGCGGU
rnacentral:ncRNA from 1 species